rnacentral:lncRNA from 1 species
CAGACAGAAAGCAGAGGUUUCCUGGAGAUGUAGGAAGUGAAAGCAGACAUUCUUUUUUGGAUGCCAUGGACUGGGUAGGUGGUCCAUGGCAGUUUUCUCUUAUGAGCUUCACCACCUGAGGGAAACCCGUAGUGAUGACACGGGUGACGGGUGGCUGGAAAGCGCUGCUUCUUAGAGCAUAGGCUCAGGCCUGCUCUCCGCCACCUUCACUCACACGUGUCUGCCACAGAAAACCACACGGCCAAGCCCUCAACACACGAGACUGGGAAGCAUUUCUCGCCGGCAGCAGGAAGAACAGCACAGAGCGCACGGAUGUAGGAAGGGGCAGAGAGUUGUGGCUAAUCAUUCAACCUAUCCGGAGGUCAUUUCCUAAAGAGAACGUGGAGUGAUGCUGUGGAGAGAGGGAGCAGGUGCAAGGCAGCAUAAAGAGCUUCUGGCAAAGACUCCCUCAUCUCAAGCGGACAGUGGCCUGCAGAUUUUGUAUGCUGCUUCUUCAGUCUCAUUACCAGCUUCAUCAGCGGCUUUCAGUGGAAGGAUCUCACCAGUGGGAAAAUGGGGGACUGAUGAGCAAUCUGAGUCUUCCUCCCCUGCCCAGUGCUCCGAAGGAAGAAAGACAUUGUUCAGCAAAUUAAACAGAGUUUGUUCUGUGCAUGUGAAGGACCUGGGCUGCAAAUCAGCAUAUCUCCAGGAAGAUCUGAGAUAUCUGAGGACAGUCACAGAUUCUUUCUUCCCCUUCGGAAAGGAAUCUUUCCUUCAUUUCCAGACACUGAAUCCAGGUGCAGCAUUUGGACUCUUCCAUCUGUUCCUUAGACAUUGCAGGUCUAUCAAAGUCCGGCACCGUGGAGAGACAUUUACAGAGGUUAUCUCACUUAGUUCUCACCACAAACAAAUAAAGAAGGCCUAUCCUAAGGUGCCUGCUGGACUUGUGGAAACCGAGGUUCUGAGAAGUUAG